rnacentral:lncRNA from 1 species
CACUCCUUGCCACCACUUGUUAUUAUGCCUGUGCCUCCUCUUUUCUUCCUCUCUCUAGCCCAUAUUCUCUUUCUCUCUAGGCGUCCCUUAUUGCAUCUAGAAGAGAGGUGGGCGGCAAUCUAUUUGUUGGUGUCAAGUGUUGGCGCCACAAGUUGUUCAUGUUUUCUUCCCUUGUCUCUUAUGUUUGUUGAGAGUUUGUUACAACCACUUCUUAGUU